rnacentral:rRNA from 1 species
CCUACGGGAGGCAGCAGUGGGGAAUAUUGCACAAUGGGGGAAACCCUGAUGCAGCGACGCCGCGUGAGUGAAGAAGUAAUUCGUUAUGUAAAGCUCUAUCAGCAGGGAAGAAAAUGACGGUACCUGAGUAAGAAGCCCCGGCUAACUCCGUGCCAGCAGCCGCGGUAUUACGUAGGGGGGAAGCGUUAUCCGGAUUUACUGGGUGUAAAGGGCGCGUAGACGGGAGUGCAAGUCUGGAGUGAAGGGCGGGGGCUCAACCCCCGGACUGCUGUGGAAACUGUACGGCUGGAGUGGGGGAGAGGUAAGUGGAAUGCCUAGUGUAGCGGUGAAAUGCGUAGAUAUUAGGAGGAACACCAGUGGCGAAGGCGGCUUACUGGACUGUAACUGACGUUGAGGCUCGAAAGCGUGGGGAGCAAACAGGAUUAGAUACCCCAGUAGUC